rnacentral:rRNA from 1 species
GACAGAGGUGCCGAGCGUUGUCCGGAGUUACUGGGCGUAAAGCGCACGCAGGCGGUCUGCUAAGUUUGGAGUGACAGUUGGUGGCUUAACUGCCAAAGUGCUUCGAAAACUGACAGACUUGAGGGCUUCAGAGGGACACGGAAUUCCGGGUGGAGUGGUGAAAUGCGUAGAGAUCCGGAGGAACACCAAAGGCGAAGGCAGUGUCCUGGGGAGUACCUGACGCUCAGGUGCGAAAGCCAGGGGAGCGAACGGG